GACGUAGGGCGCGAGCGUUGUCCGGAUUUAUUGGGCGUAAAGAGCUCGUAGGCGGCUUGUCGCGUCGACUGUGAAAACCCGCGGCUCAACCGCGGGCCUGCAGCCGAUACGGGCAGGCUAGAGUUCGGUAGGGGAGACUGGAAUUCCGGGUGUAGCGGUGGAAUGCGUAGAGAUCCGGAAGAACACCGGUGGCGAAGGCGGUCUGCUGGGCAGUAACUGGACGCUGAGGAGCGAAAGCGUGGGGAGCGAACAGG
rnacentral:rRNA from 1 species